UCAAUUUCAGAUCUUCAUUUUCUUUCAAUCAAAAACCCCUUGAGUUUGUAGCCAAGUGGCACUCAUGAUUUGAGCGGACGGGGAACCAAGGAAAAUAUAAGAGAGGGGUAACAACUCUUGCGUUCUUCUCACCUCAUCCCCACCGAGGCAGAUGAAAUGAGGCUCUUCGGCAAACACAUAUUCCCCAGACAGAUAGUGUUAUUUGCCUCGGGGCUUCUGGUCUUGGGAGCGACAACGUAUGACGUGCACAGGUCAAUCAAGAACAACGAGAAGCCACCUUCCCAGGAGCAGCUCCAAGCCCUUCAAGAUUACCUCCACUCCAAGCGCCACCAUUCUCCUCCUCCCCCUCCCCCUCCUCCUCCCCCUCCCACUCUUAUUAAAGAAAACUGAGUCCACUUUUUUUUAUAUGCAUUCAAUGUUAUAGAAUAACGGCUACUUGUUUAGUUUAUCCGCGUUUCUCUGUGACAGAUAUCUCUUUUGAGAUUUGACAUCUUGUCUUAUGCGGAUCAUGGUUACAACUUUAAGAAUGCGAGCAUGUCGGAUAUAUGUUCGAUGAUAUUACUCAAUGGACCUGAGCAUGGUUAUGGUAGAGAAUACGAGCAUGUCGGAUAUAUGUUCGAUGAUAUUACUCAAUGGACUUGAGCAUGGUUAUGGUAGAGAACCAUGUGUGUAAAUUGGUGACUGCCGAAAGGCUUGGGUAAUUCCAGCUAGGUCAAGCCGGCCUUCUAGUUUAUCAGUUUGGGUUAGCUCAAGGUCUCUCAACCGAAAAUCUUGUCAUUAAUAACUCUUCCCUGCGUCUCCAUUAUGGUAUAUGUCAGGGGACAGGACAUGCUCAUGUAUAAAUUGCCUAAUGUACAAUGUGUCUGAUCCUAAACUUUAGCUGUUU